rnacentral:sRNA from 1 species
ACCAUGCGGUUUCUUCUCGUAUUAUAUAUAUAAUGCCAUAGUAAAGACAGAAUCGACAACAUCUACACUACACCCGAGUACGACGUGCCUCAUUUAGCGCUUAAAGUAAGAUGAAGAUCGUUGGUGUUUUUUGUUUUUGGUUCUAUUGGCCCUGACGGAAGCUCAAACUAAAGCAAGUAAUACUAAAGUAGAUACACGUAAGUAGACGUUUCCUAAUAAAAUCCCUUAAAGUUCUAUUUUUUUUCCUUACUUAACCCCUUUUAAUUAUAUGUUUUUUACUGCUCUUAAUGCUUUUUGGUCUAAUUCAAUGUUUUACUUCUCUCAAUGCUUUCUUUGCCUACUUCAAACUAUUCUUGAAAUUACUUGAUAUAUUCUUUGCCUUUCAACUUUACCUUAUUUACUUAAUAUUUGUUUUAGCCUUACUUAAAAUUUUUCUGUUAUUUCUUAUUCCUAUAUUUUACUACUGUAAACUUUCUCUGGUAUUACACGAUAACAUAUAGUUAUUUGCUUAAUUUAAUUUUUUCUUGGUAUCUGUCAGGGUUUAAUUUUAUACUUGGUUCACUAUGGGUUUCAUAAAUACGAACGAUCAUCACUUUAUAUAUUUUAAAUCUAACUCCAGCUUUCAUUGAUAAUACUUAAAUACUUUAUAAAACACACGAUUAUAUUAACAUUCAGUAUAAAAUACACUUGAAUCAACUUUUUGAGAUAUAAAUACAAAAACACAAUUCCAAGAAGAGAUUGUCCAACCUAGCCGGACCGGGAGCAAGACCUCACUAACUUAACACUCCCUCUCGCACAUUUGAGGAAGACUUAUUCACUUAGUUUACAACACGUGCAAGACUAUUCAAAUUUACUAUUCAAAAUAACAAGUGGAUAUAAGAAUCAUACCAAAGUAUCAAAGUAACAUUUCUUCUCACCAUGCAUUUUCCAUCAGUAUAUAACAGUAUUGUUGCCUAAUUUAACUUUCCCUGGUAUUU